UUGUUGUUGUUGUUGUUGUUGUUGUUGUUGUUGUUGUAUAUCCAUCCGAGUAAAAUACAAGUAUUGAUUGGAUUGUUGUCGUUUGCUAAUUACUGCGAUCUCAUUUGAGUGACAGAUUGCUGGAGGAGAGGGAUUGUUUUCCUGCUCUUGUGCCGGAACACGUCAUCAGAGAAGAGAUGUUGCGAGGGGGAGUGGAAGUUCAUGUUUUUGAAUAAAUAUUAGGAGCGCACAUGAAUUAAAAAAAAAGUGUGGCGUGUGUUAUCACCAGAGCAUGUUGAAAUAAUGCAGAUGGCUAAUUUGUGGUAAUCCCCAGUCCAAAUGAACAGCGAUGGGGAGCUUAGUGUGGUACGUGCGGCACGCCUGUGGAAAAUGGGCAAAGACACAUUCUUUCUGUUGUGAUGUACUCGCCAUCCAGAGGCCAUUGGAUUACUGCUUGCUGUUUGUCCCUUGUGGUGCCGUUUCAGCAGUGUAGGUUCUUUGAAUACACAAGAAGCGCUUACAAUUUGGAUGCGCAAGCGGUUGCAGUGGUGACAAGUUGACGACAUGAUACCUGCGAGUGAAAAUGUCCUACAUCUGAAAGAAAUAAAAAUAAGGAAAAUCAGCAACAGCACGUGUUAUGGUUUUCUACAUGUUUUAGAUCACACAUGCUCAGUUGUUUCUGUGAAGGACCCAAGUAGAGGACAUGCUUUUCCUCGAUCUUUUCGCCCUGGUACUCUUGACACCAUUGCACGUGUCCUUCAUAUUGGAUUUAACUAAUGUUUUAAGGAAUCCAUUAAACUAUCCAUUAAUUUUCCUUUAUUCAGUUUCAUUUUAAUUUAGUUGAAAUUAAUUCAUUAAAAAUUUAGAAGCAAACUGUUGGCGUUAUGUAAGCGAUUAAGCUGCAAAAAUUAACUCAGCAGAAUAAUCAGAAUAAAUCAUGCCUGUUUGAAAAUUGAUAUUGAAGUCUAUAAUGUACUCAUUUUUUUUUUAGCGCAAUCAAUCAAUAUUCGGAUGAUUUAAUGCAACAAUCAGCAGAUUUUAUUCAAUAUUUAGCUUUUACAUUUCCAUUUUAUGUUGGGUGAUUUCUAACAAUACCAUAAAUACAAAGUGCUAACAAAUUUUGAAGAAAAAUCUCUGUAAGCCUAUCACGAUUAUGAAUUUUGUACUGACAAUUAAUUGUCAUAAAUAUUUGUAAUUAAGUUUUAUUCUUGUUUGUUCCUGUCACAGUGUAAGGUUUUUUUUUUUUUUUACUUGGAAUUCUAUAAUAAAGAUUAUAAUAAAAAUAUCCCUAUAUGUUUUUUCUUAAAUGCUGUGAUAAUUACUAUUUAUAUUAGGUAUUUAUAAUAUAAUAUAACCACAAUAUAAUAUCCCUUAUUUGAAUGGAAAAACGUGAUUUGAAAUCAAAAAAAGAUUCAUAAGCUUUCAAUUUCUGUUUAAAAUGAUCUGAUUUGUAGGCUAUGUACUAUAUUGCAUGAAUAUGCAAUAUAGUACAUAUAGUUAGCAAAAUGAUCUUCUAGAGUUAAGUUUUCUAGCUGACUAACGAGUUUAUGGUCGUUAAAUGGCUUUUCUGAGGUAAACAAAAUUGUGACAUUUGUUUACAAGCAGUUUUAUUGACUACUUUCAAUGGUUGAAACAGAUUGAGCAGUUACAUGUGACAUGAUAUGGUUUUCAGUAAGUUGUACUGUAUCUUACAACAUGCCUUCAGAUGUUCAUUCAUCGUUAUUUUGUGCUAUAACUAGUAGUAAAGAGGAAGAGAUGAUCAGAGAGAUGCUUCCCUUUAACCGAGGCGCUACAGUAAUCUGUCGUGCAACAUUAAAGAGCGCCAAAACUGUAUUUAUUUUUUGAAUUUCAUUGUAAGAAAGCUGAGACUGUUUCAUAUCAGAAGUAACAGCACAAUGCUUAUUGUGACUUAUUGGAUGGGAGGUACGUUACAAAGUUUUGUUCGUUCAUCAGCUGAAAACCGCAUGGACUGAAAGAUUAAUAUUGGUUCUUCAUUAAAAUGGAGAAAUUGAUCAUUUUUAACCCAGCCCUAUUAAUCAAUUGUGGCAGGUUUAUAUCUGUCAUAUUUACUUGGUGAUAGGGAAGAAUGAUUGCUUAUGUGUCUAAUUUAUCUAGAUUCCUUUUUUGUUCCUCCUAGGAAAGGAUAAAUGCUCCCGUUAUUAAAACAUCACUUUUGUAACAAUUUCAAUACAUUUUCAAGCAGUUUCUGCCAGGCUUAAAAUGGUCUGCUAUGAGGAGGAGACAUGUUAAGUCUUAGUUUUUGUGAGGACUGUGAUUGACCUAAAUGUGUAUUAUUAUUAUUAGGGCUGCACGAUAUAUCGCAUGAGAUUGUCACGCGCAUUUCGUCAGUAAAGCCGGUUCCCUGAUUACCGCUAA